rnacentral:rRNA from 1 species
CACCGGCAGCUCAAGUGGUAGCCGCUUUUAUUGGGCCUAAAGCGUCCGUAGCCGGUCUGAUAAGUCUCUGGUGAAAUCCCACAGCUUAACUGUGGGAAUUGCUGGAGAUACUAUCAUGACUCGAGGUCGGGAGAGGCUGGAGGUACUCCCAGGGUAGGGGUGAAAUCCUGUAAGCCUGGGAGGACCACCUGUGGCGAAGGCGUCCAGCUGGAACGAACCUGACGGUGAGGGACGAAAGCCAGGGGCGCGAACCGG